CUCGGGUGACGAGCGGCGGACGGGUGAGUAAUGUCUGGGAAACUGCCUGAUGGAGGGGGAUAACUACUGGAAACGGUAGCUAAUACCGCAUAACGUCGCAAGACCAAAGUGGGGGACCUUCGGGCCUCAUGCCAUCAGAUGUGCCCAGAUGGGAUUAGCUAGUAGGUGGGGUAACGGCUCACCUAGGCGACGAUCCCUAGCUGGUCUGAGAGGAUGACCAGCCACACUGGAACUGAGACACGGUCCAGACUCCUACGGGAGGCAGCAGUGGGGAAUAUUGCACAAUGGGCGCAAGCCUGAUGCAGCCAUGCCGCGUGUGUGAAGAAGGCCUUCGGGUUGUAAAGCACUUUCAGCGGGGAGGAAGGCGUUGAGGUUAAUAACCUCGUCGAUUGACGUUACCCGCAGAAGAAGCACCGGCUAACUCCGUGCCAGCAGCCGCGGUAAUACGGAGGGUGCAAGCGUUAAUCGGAAUUACUGGGCGUAAAGCGCACGCAGGCGGUCUGUCAAGUCGGAUGUGAAAUCCCCGGGCUCAACCUGGGAACUGCAUUCGAAACUGGCAGGCUAGAGUCUUGUAGAGGGGGGUAGAAUUCCAGGUGUAGCGGUGAAAUGCGUAGAGAUCUGGAGGAAUACCGGUGGCGAAGGCGGCCCCCUGGACAAAGACUGACGCUCAGGUGCGAAAGCGUGGGGAGCAAACAGGAUUAGAUACCCUGGUAGUCCACGCCGUAAACGAUGUCGAUUUGGAGGUUGUGCCCUUGAGGCGUGGCUUCCGGAGCUAACGCGUUAAAUCGACCGCCUGGGGAGUACGGCCGCAAGGUUAAAACUCAAAUGAAUUGACGGGGGCCCGCACAAGCGGUGGAGCAUGUGGUUUAAUUCGAUGCAACGCGAAGAACCUUACCUGGUCUUGACAUCCACAGA
rnacentral:rRNA from 1 species